AGACUACUGAUCCAGAGGAUGUCUCUCAGUUCCUUCCUAGGGGCUUUACCACCUCAAAGGACUCAGGGAACCCCUCCAAGACACCUUUUAAAUCCUUCCACGAGUUCUCUCCAGCCCCAGACCAGUAGAAUCUCACGUGAACCUGCCCCCCUCCUGUCUACUGGAUCUCUGAAGAACAAAGGUUGUUUCCACCGUGGGGGUCUGCAUGCAGGUCUCAGAACAUAAUCUCUUCCUUGGGCAGAUUCACGAUCUUCUCUGGGAGUCAAGGGCCUUUCCUCUGAAUGGUAACAGAGGUUGGCAGCAGUUCUGUGUCCUGUCAUCACCAAUUCAGGAUCCAGUCUGGCAGUGCAGACUGUAUCUAGAGUACUACCAAAUUGGGGGCAAAGAGAAAAGAGACACAGUGAAACACAUACCAGCUUUUAAAAUUUCUACCAGGAAGUGA
rnacentral:lncRNA from 1 species